rnacentral:other from 1 species
UGUCCCCUGCGGUGUUCGUCAGGCCUAUAUAUUCUUUGAACCAAUAAGCUUUGCUUAAGGCCGUGACCUUUGAUGUUGCUGUUGUGCGCGUUCCCAGUUUAUCUGGCGGAUGUACCUGAUGCGACUUGGAAACGGCCCUCUUGAACCCAGGUUCAAGAUGCUGGGCCAACGGCACAGGCGGGGGGCUC